UGUUUCUUCUCAUGUCCCUAUGCAAGAUAUUUGUUGCUUCCUUGUUCCUUCUCCCACGCACGCUGCUUCUCCCUCUCACUUUUCCUAAAUCUUUCUGACCCUAGCUGCAACCCUUACCAACUUCUGACCCAAAUCCAACUUCCCGGGCAAAUCUCGGUCUUUGGAUCUACAAAGAUGAUGAAAAGAUUUUCAAAAGAGCUGAUGGAGAACUUCAGGCAUGUCAACAAAUUGAAGCUGCAGAAUGCUGAUGUCAACGAAUUGAAGCUGGUAAAUGCUCAUGUCAACAAAUUGAAGCUGCAGAAUGCUGAUGUCAACGAAUUGAAGCUGGUAAAUGCUCAUGUCAACAAAUUGAAGCUGCAAAUUGCUGAGCUGCUGGAGCUCUCCAGGCAGAGCAAGUCAAAGCAAGUCAUGGCAAAAUGGAGAACAAAUCUCGCAUUAUUUUUUAUUGGCGCACUACUUCUAAGUGAGCGUUUGGUUUGACGCACCAGUGAGGGAGAGGAAACACAAAAGAGGAGUUUGGUGAAUGGUGAUUAAAUUUGGUUGAAAGGUUGUGAAGUAUGUGUGGUAAGCAAAGUUGGGAGGAAGUCUCUGUUAAUUCUAGAUAAUAGAUGUUGGAGCAAGGAGAAGAUGAGCAAAAUGCAAAGAGUUUAGGUAUUUUUGGGUUAAGUUUUUGAAUAGAUAAAAUGUAAAAGCUUAUGCUUAUCCGGAACUACCUCAAUAUGAUAUGGCUUAAUUAGUUGGGGAUAA